rnacentral:misc_RNA from 1 species
UACGAAGGGGACUAGCAUUGCUCGGAAUUACUGGGCGUAAAGGGAGCAUAGGCGGGCAGUUAAGUCAGAGGUGAAAGCCCAGGGCUCAACCCUGGAAUAGCCUUUGAAACUGGCUGUCUUGAGUAUGGGAGAGGUAUGCGGAACUCCGAGUGUAGAGGUGAAAUUCGUAGAUAUUCGAAAGAACACCAGUGGCGAAGGCGGCAUACUGGCCCAUUACUGACGCUGAGGCUCGAAAGCGUGGGGAGCAAACAGG